UGGCUCUGGCAUCGAUGAAGAACGCAGCGAAAUGCGAUAAGUAGUGUGAAUUGCAGAAUCCAGUGAAUCAUCGAAUCUUUGAACGCACAUUGCGCCCUCUGGUAUUCCUUUGGGCAUGCCUGUUCGAGCGUCAUUUAGACCUUCAAGCGCAGCUUGGUGUUGGGCGCCUGUCCCCCAGCUCCCCGAGAGGGCGAGCGGCGGGGACUCGCCUUAAAAUCAUUGGCAGCCCGCGUGUAGGCUUCGAGCGCAGCAAAUGAGCGACUCGUCCCCUCCCGCCGCCGACCACGAGGCAGGGCGUCGAGCCCGACCUCACCUCUUGACCUCGAAUCAGGUAGGGAUACCCGCUGA
rnacentral:misc_RNA from 1 species